rnacentral:lncRNA from 1 species
GGGGUGAGAACAAAAUUAUAUUUAAAAACAUAACCAAAUCUUGUCUACAAGACUCAGAAAGUGAGUGACUUAAGAUUCAGUGAGAUCUUUAACUUAACUGAUUGCACACAGAGCACCAAAAUACAUCUACUGUACCUGCGCUUGUCCUACUAAAAUGCUUAAGCUUCACUACUGAGGUUAACUACCAGCCAGAGAAGGAGGGCCCUUUGAGAGACAACAAAUCCGUAGCAUGUCAGGAUUCCACGGAUCUAUUUCACAGGGUGGCACAAUGACAUAAAGCAACACCUUCUUAAUAAAUGAAGGCACGGCCUAUUUCACUAUUUCUUCAAGUUAAGUUUUCAUACCUCCACUCCCAACUGUUCACAUCAGACCCAACACCCCUGAACACAAAUGUUCCUCCUAAAUAAAAGGAAGGAGCUGGACGUUGGAUGGGGCUCUGGAGUCCUUCCAGUUUGUGGUUCUCUAUUUAACUAGUUGUGAAAUCACAAUACAGCUCUCCCAACUCAGGGAAAGCUACAUUUUACUGCCAAAAAAUAACAGAUCUGAUGCA